AUGCGACCAUAUAGAUUAGCAUCUUUCAACAUACGCACAGGGUUGAAGCUGGCUACAAAAUUUUAUGGACCUUACAGAAUCCUACAGAAGAUAGGCAACUCCUCAUACAAACUGUUUCUACCUGAUAAUGUACAAAUACACAACGUCUUCCACGUCAGUCAAUUGAAAAGACACUUGGGACCCUUGGCCGUACCAGCUCCGGGGUUGCCAUUGGUGGACGAGUCAGGCAAGAUCAAGGUUUCUCCAGUAUUGGUAUUAGAAACUUGAGCUGUUCCACGACCUCCCAAACUUGUCACACAAUGGCUCGUGCAGUGGCUCAAUAUGUCACCUGAAGAAGCAACUUGGGAAGAUGCAGAUUUCAUUAAGUCCACCUUCCCUGAGUUCUUCAACUCCACCAUUCGCUCUUGGUUUCCUACCACCGAUCCUCGAGGGCAAUGA
rnacentral:rRNA from 1 species